CAGCCGCCGCGGUAAAACGAAGGGGGCUAGCGUUGCUCGGAAUCACUGGGCGUAAAGGGUGCGUAGGCGGGUCUUUAAGUCAGGGGUGAAAUCCUGGAGCUCAACUCCAGAACUGCCUUUGAUACUGAAGAUCUUGAGUUCGGGAGAGGUGAGUGGAACUGCGAGUGUAGAGGUGAAAUUCGUGGAUAUUCGCAAGAACACCAGUGGCGAAGGCGGCUCACUGGCCCGAUACUGACGCUGAGGCACGAAAGCGUGGGGAGUAAACAGGAUUAGAUACCCCUGUAGUCCCUGUCUCUUAUAC
rnacentral:rRNA from 1 species